rnacentral:sRNA from 1 species
AUCUUUACCUCUCUGUGUUAACUCACAGCUCCUGGGAGGGUGGACAGAAUGAUUCCUGCUUGUCAGGGUCAUUGUGAAGUUGGAAUAAGUCAUUGUAAAAAUGCUUGACUUCAGGAAAUGCUGUUGUAGUGGUGAUGAUGACUCCUCCCAAAGAGUGCCAAGAUGAAAGUUGGUAGGAAGGCCCUUCAGAGGCAUGUAAGUGUGGCUGACCCAGCUCGGGGCCCAGCACAGAUGGUACCUUGUACCAAGUCAGUACCGGACAUGUAUCUGCUAUUCCAGAGUAGUGGCCCAGCCCCUCCCUGCUGAGACCACCUCACCCACACAGGUUUGCCUGGGAGAAGGGUCAGAGGAGGUGUUGGCUGCCCAUGGUACCAAAGCCCAUGUGCACUUCCCAGGGAAGCCCCCUCUGUUUCAUCUGUGUGACUCUGGGCCAGUCACCAGCGUCUCUGAUCCUUGACUUUCUUAGCUCUACCAGGCCAAGCUUUCAUAGACACACACAUGUAGCAAUUGUAUAUGAGGCAUGUGGCAUAAGGCCUAGCGCUUGGUAAGCUGCUCAAGUGGUGGUGGAUGCUCUAUAAUUUUGAUUUGGAUAAGAAUCAUUAUUUUCUACAAGCUGCUGAGUUCAGGCUGGGGUCCACCCAGAGCAGGUCAGUCAACCCCGGCCCCUCCCUAAGGACAGCGUGGCUCACCCCCUGCUCUGGGGAAGAGGGGCCAGAGCCACAUGCCAGGCCCACGGGCCCUGAUGGUGUCAUGAUGAUGUGUCCACUCCUGCCCUUGUGACAGGUUGGUGUGCCAGGGGAAGGGGAGCAGGGUGGUCAAGCCAGCUGAAGCCCCACUGUGUGUCCACAGGCUAUCUGGGAGAAUCAGUUCUAUUACCUCUUUGGCUUCCUGUUCCUUGUUUUCAUCAUCCUGGUGGUAUCCUGUUCACAAAUCAGCAUCGUCAUGGUGUACUUCCAGCUGUGUGCAGAGGAUUACCGCUGGUGGUGGAGAAAUUUCCUAGUCUCCGGGGGCUCUGCAUUCUACGUCCUGGUUUAUGCCAUCUUUUAUUUCGUUAACAAGCUGGACAUCGUGGAGUUCAUCCCCUCUCUCCUCUACUUUGGCUACACGGCCCUCAUGGUCUUGUCCUUCUGGCUGCUAACGGGUACCAUCGGCUUCUAUGCAGCCUACAUGUUUGUUCGCAAGAUCUAUGCUGCCGUGAAGAUAGACUGAUUGGAGUGGACCACGGCCAGGCCCGCUCCGUCCUCGGACAGGAAGCCACCCUGCGUGGGGGACUGCAGGCACGCAAAAUAAAAUAACUCCUGCUCGUUUGGAAUGUAACUCCUGGCACAGUGUUCCUGGAUCCUGGGGCUGCGUGGGGGGCGGGAGGGCCUAUAGAUAAUCUUGCGUUUUUCUUCAUCUUAUUCCAGUUCUGUGGGGGAUGAGUUUUUUUGUGGGUUGCUUUUUCUUCAGUGCUAAGAAAGUUCCCUCCAACAGGAACUCUCUGACCUGUUUAUUCAGGUGUAUUUCUGGUUUGGAUUUUUUUUUCCUUCUUUGUUUUAACAAAUGGAUCCAGGAUGGAUAAAUCCACCGAGAUAAGGGUUUUGGUCACUGUCUCCACCUCAGUUCCUCAGGGCUGUUGGCCACCCUAUGACUAACUGGAAGAGGACACGCCAGAGCUUCAGUGAGGUUUCCGAGCCUCUCCCUGCCCAUCCUCACCACUGAGGCCACGACAAAGCACAGCUCCAGCCCGGACAGCACCCUCAGUGCCAGCCAGCCUCUGCCAGACCUCUCUUUCCCUCUUCUCCCCAGCCUCCUCCAGGGCUGCCCAAGGCAGGGUUUCCAGCCAGGCCUCGGGGUCAUCUUUUCACCAGGAGCAAACCCAAGUCUUAGUUGCUACAAGAAAAUCCCCUGGAAGUACUGGGGGCCAGGUUCCCCAGACAGCAGGAAUUGCCCCUGUUCAGAGCAGCCGGAGUUUGCUGGACCAACAAGGAAGAAGAGAAGAGACUUGCAGUGAACUGUUUUUGUGCCAAGAAACCCUGGACCUGGGGCCAAGUAUUUCCCAAGCCAAGCAUCCACUUGUCUGUGUCUGGGAAGGGAUGGCCAAGGCCGCUAGGGUCCUUACCCCUCAGGAUCACUCCCCGGCCCUUUCCUCAGGAGGUACCGCUCUCCAAGGUGUGCUAGCAGUGGGCCCUGCCCAACUUCAGGCAGAACAGGGAGGCCCAGAGAUUACAGAUCCCCUCCUGUAAGUGGCCAGGCAUUCUCUCCCUGCCCUCUCUGGCCUCCGGGGUCAUACUCACUUCUUUAGCCAGCCCCAUCCCCUCCACCCCACACCUGAGUUCUUGCCUCCUCCUUUUGGGGACACCCAAAACACUGCUUGUGAGAAGGAAGAUGGAAGGUAAGUUCUGUCGUUCUUUCCCCAAUCCCCAGGAAUGGACAAGAAGCCAACUUAGAAGGGUCUCACGUGGCUGGCCUGGCUCCUCCGUAGACCCCUGUUCUUUUCAACCUCUGCCCACCCGUGCAUGUCAUCACAAACAUUUGCUCUUAAGUUACAAGAGACCAGAUCCACCCAGGGAUUAGGGUUCAAGUAGCAGCUGCUAACCCUUGCACCAGCCCUUGUGGGACUCCCAACACAAGACAAAGCUCAGGAUGCUGGUGAUGCUAGGAAGAUGUCCCUCCCCUCACUGCCCCACAUUCUCCCAGUGGCUCUACCAGCCUCAGCCAUCAAACCAGUGAAUUUCUCAAUCUUGCCUCACAGUGACUGCAGCGCCAAGCGGCAUCCACCAAGCAUCAAGUUGGAGAAAAGGGAACCCAAGCAGUAGAGAGCGAUAUUGGAGUCUUUUGUUCAUUCAGAUCUUGGAUUUUUUUUUUUCCCCUAAGAGAUUCUCUUUUUAGGGGGAAUGGGAAACGGACACCUCAUAAAGGGUUCAAAGAUCAUCAAUUUUUCUGACUUUUUAAAUCAUCAUCAUUAUUAUUUUUAAUUAAAAAAAUGCCUGUAUGCCUUUUUUUGGUCGAAUUGUAAAUAAAUAUACCAUUGUCCUACUG